CAUGCAUAUAGAUUGUGUCAGAACCCCUAAUGGCAAAACAUCAAGUACCUUCUGAAGAUGUGCUUUGGUCCAAUGUAUCCACAAGUUCCAUGUUUAUAACUAGCAAGAACAGAUGAUUUUUUCAGAGCCACUGGAACAGCACAGGCUAGCAGCAAAAAUUACUGGUCAAGGAAUGCAAAUGAAACUAUGGUGCCAGAUGGAGGACAUUUCUAGCAGCAUGUGCUUGCUGCUCCAUGUCUUUCCAUCCACCAAAAAACAACAACAACAACAACUAACAAACUCUCCAAGUGAAAGCAGAAGAACUGGUACCUGGAGAGACAGACACAGGCCCACCUGGUCUUCCUGAAUUGUGUGUCAGCCCCAACUCUCAUCUGACAGCAGCCUCCUUACUGCCUCCUUCCUUUCCCUGGAAUGACUGUGGGUAACUGAAAACACAACAAGCAAAACCUUGGAUGGGGGGAGUGUGGGGAAAUGACUACUGUGUUUGUGAAGCACUUUGCCAAUCAUACAGUGCUAUAUAAGUACUAGCUAUAAUAGGAGCAUUCUCACCAAGGAUAUACCUGGAAAUUCAUCCACACCCUAUUAUCCUGUGCAAUUCUUGUUGAUAUGUUCCCAUGAAUCCUACAAAUAUGGUAGACCCCUUUAGAUUUUGUACUGAUAAAUGGAGAUUAAAGCUGUCCAUUGGUUA